ACUCCUACGGGAGGCAGCAGUGGGGAAUAUUGCACAAUGGAGGAAACUCUGAUGCAGCAACGCCGCGUGGAGGAUGACGCAUUUCGGUGUGUAAACUCCUUUUAUAUGGGAAGAUAAUGACGGUACCAUAUGAAUAAGCACCGGCUAACUCCGUGCCAGCAGCCGCGGUAAUACGGAGGGUGCAAGCGUUACUCGGAAUCACUGGGCGUAAAGCGCAUGCAGGCGGUUUAAUAAGUUGGAAGUGAAAGCCUAUGGCUCAACCAUAGAACUGCUUCCAAAACUGUUAGACUAGAGUCUGGGAGGGGAAGAUGGAAUUAGUAGUGUAGGGGUAAAAUCCGUAGAGAUUACUAGGAAUACCAAAAGCGAAGGCGAUCUUCUGGAACAGUACUGACGCUGAGAUGCGAAAGCGUGGGGAGCAAACAGGAUUAGAUACCCUGGUAAUCCACGCAGUAAACGAUGAAUGUUAGUCGUUGGUGUCCUAGAGACAUCAGUGAUGCAGUUAACACAUUAAACAUUCCGCCUGGGGAGUACGGUCGCAAGAUUAAAACUCAAAGGAAUAGACGGGGACCCGCACAAGUGGUGGAGCAUGUGGUUUAAUUCGAAGAUACGCGAAGAACCUUACCUAGCCUUGACAUAUUUUAGAACUCAGCAGAGAUGUAGAGGUGCCUUCGGGAGCUAAUAUACAGGUGCUGCACGGCUGUCGUCAGCUCGUGUCGUGAGAUGUUGGGUUAAGUCCCGCAACGAGCGCAACCCUCGUCACUAGUUACUAACGAUUCGGUCGAGGACUCUAGUGAGACUGCCUUCGUAAGGAGGAGGAAGGUGAGGACGACGUCAAGUCAUCAUGGCCCUUACGGCUAGGGCAACACACGUGCUACAAUGGUUAGGACAAUGAGAGGCGAUACCGCGAGGUGGAGCAAAUCUAUAAACCUAAUCUCAGUUUCGGAUU
rnacentral:rRNA from 1 species